GUAAGGAAUAUUGGACAAUGGUCGCAAGACUGAUCCAGCCAUGCCGCGUGCAGGAAGACGGCCCUAUGGGUUGUAAACUUCUUUUGUACCAGAGAAAACCUAUCUACGUGUAGAUAGCUGAUAGUAUGGUAAGAAUAAGCAUCGGCUAACUUCGUGCCAGCAGCCGCGGUAAGACGAAGGAUGCAAGCGUUAUCCGGAUUCAUUGGGUUUAAAGGGUGCGUAGGCGGGCUUGUAAGUCAGUGGUGAAAUCUCUCAGCUUAACUGAGAAACAGCCAUUGUUACUGCAGGCCUAGAGUAUAGAUGCCGUUGGCGGAAUAUGACAUGUAGUGGUGAAAUACUUAGAUAUGUCAUAGAACACCGAUUGCGAAGGCAGCUAACGAAUCUCUAACUGACGCUGAGGCACGAAAGUGCGGGGAU
rnacentral:rRNA from 1 species